rnacentral:rRNA from 1 species
UACGUAGGUGGCAAGCGUUGUUCGGAAUUACUGGGCGUAAAGGGCGCGUAGGCGGCUUGGUAAGUCCCGUGUGAAAUUCCUCGGCUCAACUGAGGAAUGGCACGGGAAACUGCUUGGCUUGAGUUCGGGAGAGGGAAGCGGAAUUCCGGGUGUAGCGGUGAAAUGCGUAGAUAUCCGGAGGAACACCGGUGGCGAAGGCGGCUUCCUGGACCGACACUGACGCUGAGGCGCGAAAGCUAGGGAGCAAACGGG